GGGUUCAUAACUCGGUGGUAGAGGAUUUGACUAUAGAUCAAGAGGUCAUUGGUUCGAACCCGGUUGGGCCUU